AGGGAACACAUAUUCAGCUGAAUAUCUUUCUUCACAUGUGGAAUCUGCAAUUUGAAGAGGUGUUUGAAACUCAGCCUCUGUUAACUCCUUCAUGAGUGUCUCACCCCCUCUUUUCUCUCCAUCAUCUAUCCACUGUUGAUGAUCUCCCUGAUGAUCUUCAUCCCUUAUUUCUCCAUUGUGAAGUGUUAUUAUUUUAUUACCAUUGUCAGUUUCCGAAGUGCUAUUGAUACUAUUUGCUUUCUCACCCCUUUUUUCUUGAUAAUUAGCAAAUGCAUUAGUAAUCCAUUCCUUUGUAGAAGAAA